rnacentral:rRNA from 1 species
ACAAGCUACUAAGGGCAGUCGGUGGAUGCCUUGGCAUCAAGAGCCGAAGAAGGACGUAGUAACCUGCGAUAAGCCCCGGGGAGUUGGUAAACAAGCUUCGAUCCGGGGAUCUCCGAAUAGGGAAACCUCGAAAGAAACCGGAGUAAUUUCCGGCGACCUCUACCUGAACACAUAGGGUAGUUGGAGGGAACGUGGGGAAGUGAAACAUCUCAGUACCCAUAGGAAAAGAAAACAACCGUGAUUCCGUAAGUAGUGGCGAGCGAACGCGGAUCUAGGCCAAACUCAACAUAUGCGAUAGCUGACAGGCGUUGUAUGUUGGGGGUAGUGGGGCCAUUCAGGACACGCUGUCAAGUGUCCAGAGAGUAAAAAAAGAUUAGGGAAGUAGAAUGAGUCUGGAAAGCUCAGGCACAGAAGGUAAUACCCCUGUACACGUAAGCUAAUCUCUCUCGAGUGUCACCCCAAGUAAUGCGGAACCCCUGAAAUUCGGGACCACCCGUUAAGCCUAAAUACUCCUUGAUGACCGAUAGCGGACAAGUACCGUGAGGGAAAGGUGAAAAGUACCCCGGGAGGGGAGUGAAAUAGUACCUGAAACCGAUUGCCUACAAUCCGUCGGAGCUUUGAUCUUCGGAUCGGGGUGACGGCGUGCCUUUUGAAGAAUGAGCCUGCGAGUUAGUGGUACGUGGCGAGGUUAACCCGUGUGGGGAAGCCGUAGCGAAAGCAAGUCCGAAUAGGGCGAUUUAGUCGCGUGCUCUAGACCCGAAGCGAAGUGAUCUAUCCAUGGCCAGGGUGAAGCGACGGUAAGACGUCGUGGAGGCCCGAACCCACCUGGGUUGAAAACCGGGGGGAUGAGCUGUGGAUAGGGGUGAAAGGCCAAUCAAACUUCGUGAUAGCUGGUUCUCCCCGAAAUGCAUUUAGGUGCAGCGUCGCGCGUUUCUUGCCGGAGGUAGAGCACUGGAUGGUCUAGGGGGCCCACAAGCUUACCGAAAUCAGCCAAACUCCGAAUGCCGGUAAGUGAGAGCGCGGCAGUGAGACGGCGGGGGAUAAGCUUCGUCGUCGAAAGGGAAACAGCCCAGAACACCAGCUAAGGCCCCCAAGCGAUUGCUAAGUGGAAAAGGAUGUGGAGUUGCUCAGACAACCAGGAGGUUGGCUUGGAAGCAGCCACCCUUGAAAGAGUGCGUAAUAGCUCACUGGUCAAGUGAUUCUGCGCCGACAAUAUAGCGGGGCUCAAGCAAUCCGCCGAAGCUGUGUCAUUCGCGUAAUAACCAGGCCUUCGUGGUCCAGGUGCGUGGAUGGGUAGGGGAGCGUCGUGUGCGCUGCGAAGCGGCGGGGGAACCCAGCCGUGGAGAGUACACGAGUGAGAAUGCAGGCAUGAGUAGCGAAAGACGGGUGAGAAACCCGUCCGCCGAAUAUCCAAGGGUUCCAGGGUCAAGCUAAUCUGCCCUGGGUAAGUCGGGACCUAAGACGAGGCCGACAGGCGUAGCCGAUGGACAACGGGUUGAUAUUCCCGUACUGGCGAAAUAACGAUCCUACCGAGGCGAGUAAUGCUAAGCACGCGAGAGUGGGGGAGGCCUACGGGCUGAGUCCGCUUAAGUCUGCGACCCGAACUUGUAUUAGGUAAGCUGCGGAGGGACGCAGGAAGGUAGCCCAACCCAGGCGAUGGUUGUCCUGGGCUAAAUGUGUAGGGCGUGACGUAGGCAAAUCCGCGUCACGUAUGCCUGAGACAUGACGGCGAGGAGAGUUUCGACUCUUUUAAGUGGGUGAUCCUAUGCUGCCUAGAAAAUCUUCGUGAGCGAGUUAUUUAGCCACCCGUACCCCAAACCGACACAGGUGGAUAGGUAGAGAAUACCAAGGCGAUCGAGAGAAUCGUGGUGAAGGAACUCGGCAAAAUACCCCCGUAACUUCGGGAUAAGGGGGACCUGAUUUGUGAAAGAAUUUACUUCUGGAGCAUUGAGGGUCGCAGAGACCAGGCCCAAGCGACUGUUUACUAAAAACACAGGUCCGUGCCAAGUCGAAAGACGAUGUAUACGGACUGACUCCUGCCCGGUGCUGGAAGGUUAAGGGGAAGUGUUAGGGCAACCGAAGCACUGAACUUAAGCCCCAGUAAACGGCGGUGGUAACUAUAACCAUCCUAAGGUAGCGAAAUUCCUUGUCGGGUAAGUUCCGACCUGCACGAAUG